GGACUGCCUGAUGGCGGGGGAUAACUACUGGAAACGGUAGCUAAUACCGCAUAAUGUCUGCGGACCAAAGCGGGGGACCUCCGGGCCUCGCGCCAUCAGAUGAACCCAUAUGGGAUUAGCUUGUAGGUAAGGUAACGGCUUACCUAGGCGACGAUCCCUAGCUGGUCUGAGAGGAUGAUCAGCCACACUGGGACUGAGACACGGUCCAA
rnacentral:rRNA from 1 species